rnacentral:rRNA from 1 species
CCUACGGGUGACAGCAGUCGAGAAUCAUUCACAAUGGGGGAAACCCUGAUGGUGCGACGCCGCGUGGGGGAAUGAAGGUCUUCGGAUUGUAAACCCCUGUCAUGUGGGAGCAAAUUAAAAAGAUAGUACCACAAGAGGAAGAGACGGCUAACUCUGUGCCAGCAGCCGCGGUAAUACAGAGGUCUCAAGCGUUGUUCGGAAUCACUGGGCGUAAGGCGUGCGUAGGCUGUUUCGUAAGUCGUGUGUGAAAGGCGCGGGCUCAACCCGCGGACGGCACAUGAUACUGCGAGACUAGAGUAAUGGAGGGGGAACCGGAAUGCUCGGUGUAGCAGUGAAAUGCGUAGAUAUCGAGAGGAACACUCGUGGCGAAGGCGGGUUCCUGGACAUUAACUGACGCUGAGGCACGAAGGCCAGGGGAGCGAAAGGGAUUAGAUACCCUUGUAGUC